AUUAAAAAUAAAACUAAAAGGACGCGGUAACCUUGACCGUGAUAAUGUAGCAUAAUCACUCGCCAUUUAAUUGAUGGAUAGUAUGAAUGGUUGAACGAAUAUUCCACUGUCUUAAAGAGAAUUACAAGAAAUUGAAAUAAUAGUUAAGAUGCUAUUUAAAACUGUAAGACGAAAAGACCCUAUAGAGCUUAACUAUAAUCUCUUUACUUAAAAAGAAAAAUAAUUUUCUUAUAUAUAGAGAUUGGUAGUUUAGUUGGGGCGACUGUCUUCUAGAAUAAACGAAGACAAGCAAUGUUAAUAAAAAACUUAUUGUAUAAUAAAUCUAUUUAACAAUUAUAAAAGUAGGCUAUAUUGACCCGUUUUUACUAAAAAACAAGGAAAAACGAUCAAUUGAUAAAAGCUACCUUAGGGAUAACAGGAUAAUUUCAUUUUAGAGCUC
rnacentral:rRNA from 1 species